rnacentral:rRNA from 1 species
GUGGGGAAUAUUGGACAAUGGGCGAAAGCCUGAUCCAGCCAUGCCGCGUGUGUGAAGAAGGUCUUCGGAUUGUAAAGCACUUUAAGUUGGGAGGAAGGGCAGUAAGUUAAUACCUUGCUGUUUUGACGUUACCGACAGAAUAAGCACCGGCUAACUUCGUGCCAGCAGCCGCGGUAAUACGAAGGGUGCAAGCGUUAAUCGGAAUUACUGGGCGUAAAGCGCGCGCAGGUGGUUUUGUAAGUUGGAGGUGAAAUCCCCGGGCUCAACCUGGGAACUGCCUCCAAAACUGCAUGACUAGAGUACGGUAGAGGGUAGUGGAAUUUCCUGUGUAGCGGUGAAAUGCGUAGAUAUAGGAAGGAACACCAGUGGCGAAGGCGACUACCUGGACUGAUACUGACACUGAGGUGCGAAAGCGUGGGGAGCAAACAGGAUUAGAAACCCUUGUAGUCC